UUAACUCCUUUGUCUUUUCAUUUGGAUAAACGUAUUUUGCAAAACAUAAAGAAAUGAUGUAACACUUUUCUAUUCUUAGUAAAGUAUUGAAACAAUUGAAAUAUGUCUGGAAUUCAGAUCAGAGAUUAUUAGGAAGGGAUGAGUGUGAUCUUUGUUUUUUUGUAUUCCUACCAUCAAAUUCUUACAUCUUUUGAGUUCCUGUUUGGAGAAGAGAGUGGGGAAACUAUUCUUGGUAAUCUAGUAGGGGAAUUGCAACCAUCACCUAACCUCUUAUAAAAAUAGUGGUAUUCAUUAUUCAUUACUUGAAGUGUAAUUUUAAAAAAUAAUCUGUUGUCUUUCAAAAUUUCUCCCUACAGCAUACAGGUAUUUUUAUAGAAGUUCAUUUUGCCAUCUGCACAUAUGUUGGGGGAAAAUUUUAUUUUUAAUUUUUAGUGCUAACAUUGUAUUUCAGAACAAACACAAAAGUCCGCAGAAGUGGUGUUGGUAUUUUCUCCUAAGUUGCUUUAAUUAUUAACUAACACUUACCCUGUGGCAUUCAUUAAUUAAUUUAUUCUACAGAUGUUUGAGUUGCCACUGUGUGGCAGGGCCUUGGGUUAAAACAGAAUAAAGCAUAGUCUCUGACCUAAAGACUACCUCAUUUGGGAAAAAUAAACCAUAAAUGAUAAAUUACAGCAUAUUUGGAUAAUACUAGUGCGAGCAGUGUGUCCAGAGUCAGCCUAGUAUUUUUGUAGAUGAAAGAACAUAUGUGAAGAGGUAGGGUAUUUAUUAAAAUCUCAUCACCAGAGACU